rnacentral:rRNA from 1 species
AGCGAACGCUGGCGGCAGGCCUAACACAUGCAAGUCGAACGCCCCUUCGGGGGUGUGGCGGACGGGUGAGUAACGCGUGGGAAUUUGCCCUUUGGUACGGAACAACUGAGGGAAACUUAAGCUAGUACCGUAUGUGCCCUACGGGGGAAAGAUUUAUCGCCAUUGGGGCAGCCCGCGUUGGAUUAGGUAGUUGGUGGGGUAAUGGCCCACUAAGCCGACAAUCGAUAGCUGGUCUGAGAGAAUGAUCAGCCACACUGGGACUGAGACGCGGCCCGGACUCCUACGGGAGGGGGCAGUGGGGAAUCGUGCGCAAUGGGCGGAAGGCUGACGCAGCCAUGCCGCGUGAAUGAUGAAGGUCUUAGGAUUGUAAAAUUCUUUCACCGGGGAAGAUAAUGACGGUACCCGGAGAAGAAGCCCCGGCUAACUUCGUG